UCCGAUGCACAGACGGCACUCUUCAUGAACUAUACACAUCCGCAAAACGGCACACAAGCCAGAACAAAGUGCGUCGACGACGCCACUCGACACCAAAUGCGUCGUCGAUAACGCCGCAUUAAAACACGGACACCUUGUUGAAUUCACAAACAUUCACAAACCAAACCACGAUAUGCUGCGAUUUAACGGCCCUGACUGGUUGAUACGGCUGCUCCGCAGGUUGCUGUCCUCGAUGUUGAAAGAAACGUUGUUGAAACACGCCGCAUCACUCGCAUAACAUGUGAAUACCAGCCGCCACCAUCCAUGCGAUCACGAUUACCAUGGAGCACCGUGCCGAUACAGUGGUGCCGAGGAGCCAGAGACCAACGUUGCCUGAGACGACAAAACGGUAGACGACGAUGUAAACAAUAUGGCCGCCAUGACGUUUAUCCGGCUCUUGCAAAGCUUCCGGUGCCUCUAUCUUGACGAAAUGACAUCAUUUUCCCGUGUUCGGCUGUCAAAAUGUUACCAGUCUAGAAACGUUGGGCUGUCGGUAUGUGAGCGCAGCAUGAAUAUUUUCCUUGCGGACGGUCGAUGUGGUAGUUUAAUCAUAUUUACGCUUUGCCGAGAGAAAAUGUGCUCUUUUUUGUGCGCAUCAGCGAUCGCUAAGCCCCUGGGCCUGUGCAACGCUGCUAGCUAGCUGUAUCUUUCGUGCGGUGCGGCGUUGUUGGUCAUCGUAGUUCGGUCCAUUCGUGCUCUUUGUUCCCGGCUCAUUAGCAGCCUCUGGUACUCUCGCCGAUCUCGCAGCGGUUCACAGUGCACGGAAGAAUGUGUUGGAAAUUGUACUAUUACGUUCAUCCGCAAUUUAACAGUGUUUAUGCCGGAAGGACAGUUCGUGCAGUCGAUGCCGCCGGACCUGACACGAAGGAGCGUUUGCCGAGUAUGUCUCGAAAGGGAUGUCACGAUUUCGUGAGACGGAGGCAUCUCUGCACCACAUGGGAGCCUGUGGCAAAAUGCAGUCUGAGCAGCCCGACAAGGAAUCUGAUCUGCUUGCUUUGACAAGGUAUGGCUGGGCCUGCAGAGAAAGUGUAAGCAGACUGUGCUGUGUUGCUGAUCAGUGCUGAUCUCCACGCCUGAGUUGGUCCCACAACAUCCAGGCACCAGCGUGCUUUGCUUCAUCAUUGACAAGGUGCACGGCAAGCUCUCACUCAAGCAACACAUUCCAGUGGUCUUCUGUCAACAGACUGGGUGUAUUGAAGUACCAUUACAAGGUCCAAUAAACAACGCUUGCGAGAUGUGUGACGUGCUCUUGCUUAAAAUCGGAGGACUUCACUAUUAAUGUAAGCUUGAAUAGGUGUGCUGAAGAACCUGUGUAACGUGUACUUGUUUAUUAACAAGUACAAACCAUUACCUCACCUGACAUUUUUUUUCACCUCAACAUAACUCUUUACUGUAGAUUUCUGAACAAACCAUUACAGCAACACAACACUGCAGUAAGGUCAGCACAAGUGUUCAUGCAUGAACACUUGUAUUUACAAGAAUUGUAUUUGCAUUAUUAUACUAAAUAUGAAUAUGAGGUGCGUAUCUUUUUCAGGGUGCAUACUCUCGCAGGUCGUACAAGCUCGUCAUCUUGUACGCACUCAGCUCGUAGAAACGAACUCGUUCAUAAUGUACGAGAAUCUCGUUCAGUGACAAGAACGCGAUCUCGUACACAUGUGUGCGAGAAAUGUACGCGAUGGUUGCUGCGUAGACUGUACGAGGUUCUCGUAGACUCAACGAGUUCUCGCAGACUGAACGAGUUUCUCGCACAGUCUACGGAGCAAUAAUCGCGUACACUAUUUCUCGUACAUUCUCGUUCACAUUUUUUUCAAUA